rnacentral:misc_RNA from 1 species
AGUCGUAACAAGGUAACCGUAGGUGAACCUGCGGUUGGAUCAUUACUAAAAUGAGUGAGUGGAGAGUAAGGGUUUACCCUUACUCGACUCUCAUACCAUAGAGAAACCUCCCCUUAGCUUGCUAAGGAAGGCGACUCGCAACCCCCUUACCAUGUAGUUCAGUCUAAUUAAGUAUGGGAUGGACAUCUCCCCCCUAAGCUCUUUUUGCUUUUUCCCUUACCGGAAGAGUUUAAAGGCAAGCUUUUUGGGGCCCAUCCCUGCCAAUGAGUUAUAUACAUUGUCAACCUUUAAAGUGCCUUUGCAUUUUUGUUACUCUUUGCUAAGGGGGGGAAAGGUAAGCUUUUGGGCUUACCCCUCAACCUUAACAACUAUUACAAAACGAAUAAGCAAACAACUUUUGACAACGGAUCUCUUGGCUCUC